GGAAGCCGGUGGAAUUCCGGCACGGUCGCGCCACUGUAACCGCCCGCAGCAAGGGCGGAAGUCAGAC
rnacentral:ncRNA from 1 species